rnacentral:rRNA from 1 species
UACGUAGGUGGCGAGCGUUAUCCGGAAUUACUGGGCGUAAAGCGUCCGCAGGUGGUUUUUUAAGACUGACGUGAAAGCGCCUGGCUUAACUGGGCGAGGUCGUUGGUGACUGGAAAGCUGGAGGCAAGGAGAGGGGUGCAGAAUUCCCGGUGUAGUGGUGGAAUGCGUAGAGAUCGGGAGGAAUACCAGAGGCGAAAGCGGCAUCCUGGCCUUGGCCUGACGCUGAGGGACGAAAGCGUGGGGAGCGAACGGG